GUUUUUAUGAGAGUGCUGAGGGAAACUUGACUGAAGAAAAUGACCUUAUAGUGAAUGCAGGGAGAGGGUUCCCACCUGCUUCAAGGCAGCCACCAUCUUUCCUGUACCUAAAAGGUCUGCAGUGUCUAGUCUGAACAACUACCGCCCUGUUUCUCUCACCCCCAUUCUGAUGAAGUGCUUUGAGAAACUGGUUCUUCAGCACAGAUGGCAGAUGGCCGCCCACCCUGAGCCAUGGUUCUGCUUGAGGUUUCUGCCUCUUAAAAGGAAGUUUUUCCUUGCCUCUGUCGCCUAGUGAUUGCUCUCGGUGGGAAUUAUUGGGCUUCUGUACAUAGCAUCAUAGAG